rnacentral:tmRNA from 1 species
GGGGACGACAGGCUUCGACGUGGACGAUCCGUGGGAACAGUUGCGAGCCGAGGUCCCCGGUAGGCCUCGUAAAACAACCGGGAAACCAUAAUUGGCGACUCUCACGAGUACGCCCUCGCGGCCUAGCUAAAACUAGGUCCUGAGGUGUCGGCCCGCCCUCGGCCCGUGGGGUGGAUGUCCGGCAUCAGAAACGGGCUCUGCCCACCGCGCUCGCCCUCGACGCGGUGGGGACUUUCAGAGGGCUGGCCUCCCGCAACCCCGCCGGCACGGCGAGCGGAAGGCGAGAUCAGAGAGCCGGCUACGCUCGUAGAGAUUGUUCCUGACGCGUCCGCGGACGUGGGUUCGAUUCCCACCGUCUCCAUAG